GCGGAUGUGUCGUAAUUGGUAGCCGAGCAAGACUUAGGAUCUUGUGUCAUAACUGACGUGGGGGUUCGAGUCCCUUCAUCCGCACCA
rnacentral:tRNA from 1 species